rnacentral:lncRNA from 1 species
GGAAUCUAGAAAACUGUAUCUGAAGUUGUUCCUACCUGAAGCCGUUGCAUUGAGAGGUGCUAAGUGGAUCCUCUGGCCAGCUGACUGCACUUCUUUUUUGAGAAAGGAAGGAAUAUAUCCUGACUGAUUCAGCCCUAGCAAACCAAGAGUGAGCCACCUUGGAAGUAGAUCCUGCAGUCCCAGUCAAGCCUUCGGAUGACUGAAACUUCGGCCAAUUAUCUGACUGCCAUCAGAGAACCCAAGCCAGAACUACCCAGCUAAGCUACUUCUAAAUUCCUGACCCACA